rnacentral:rRNA from 1 species
GACGAACGCUGGCGGCGUGCUUAACACAUGCAAGUCGAAUGAAAAGAGGGAAAGAGCUUGCUCUUUCCGGAAUUGAGUGGCAAACGGGUGAGUAACACGUAAACAACCUGCCUUCAGGAUGGGGACAACAGACGGAAACGACUGCUAAUACCGAAUAAGUUCCAAGGGCCGCAUGGCCCAUGGAAGAAAAGGUGGCCUCUACCUGUAAGCUAUCGCCUGAAGAGGGGUUUGCGUCUGAUUAGCUGGUUGGAGGGGUAACGGCCCACCAAGGCGACGAUCAGUAGCCGGUCUGAGAGGAUGAACGGCCACACUGGAACUGAGACACGGUCCAGACUCCUACGGGAGGCAGCAGUGGGGAAUCUUCCGCAAUGGGCGAAAGCCUGACGGAGCAACGCCGCGUGAGUGAUGACGGCCUUCGGGUUGUAAAACUCUGUGAUCCGGGACGAAAAGGCAGAGUGCGAAGAACAAACUGCAUUGACGGUACCGGAAAAGCAAGCCACGGCUAACUACGUG